UUCACAGGUCUAUCUACUUGAGGAGUAAACCAGAGAUUCGCAGGAUCAGCAGUACAACCCACAACCUCUACACAGCAGGAGUCUAUAAGUGCACAUUGAUUACAUAUCUGUAUCAUCCAGCAGCCCAUCCAGUGAUCAUGAUGUUGUUCAUGAUGUGCCUCAACAUGGUAGUAUGGCCCCUGGCACAGGGGAACUUGAGUUGUUUGGAGAGUCCAUCCAUGAGGUCGACCGUGAUGUUGCAGCAGAUGUAGCCUCAGAUGUGGAGGACCACUUGUCCUGCCAUUCAGAGGAUGAUGCUACAGUGGAUGUUGAACAGGGUGAGGCCACUGACCAACACACCACAGUUGAGAGCACUGUUGCUGACAGUUGCACACAAUAACCAGGAACAGGGCAUCGUGGUAGACAUAGGCAAGCAAAUGUUUUGCAUGGCUAGGUUUCAGAGGGUAUCCACCUCCUGCUGCAGGCAAAUGAACAUUCAUAGUAAUUUCAUCAUUCAGAUGUCUGUGCACUUGCCUGUGCCACAGAUCAUGUGACACAUCAGCUAUGUGCCAUGCAUGAAGGGCAAUUCUGCAUUCCAUGACUGUACUCACCAGAUUGCAAACUGUGAGAGGCAGGCCACCUGUCCACAGAACCACCAUUGGCCAUCAAGAACCAUUGUAUGUGGUCUAGCCUGGACAUAGAUGAACUGCUGGCCCAUCUGCUGUGGUCUCACCAUUCACAAGACCUUCAAAUCACAGUCAUAGUCCUUCAACUCAACAUGGUGUUGCCACAUCCAACUCCUUUGUGGAGCAACCAGGGCAAGAUGUGUCUGUACAUGGUCAGAGCAAAGUGGACUGUGGUGUUUAUUGUCAAGAAGUUCACCCAAGACUGCAUUAGAGUGCGUCCAAUAGUGUAGUACA